rnacentral:rRNA from 1 species
ACGGGAGGCAGCAGUGGGGGAUAUUGCACAAUGGGGGAAACCCUGAUGCAGCGACGCCGCGUGAGUGAUGAAGUAUUUCGGUAUGUAAAGCUCUAUCAGCAGGGAAGAAAAUGACGGUACCUGACUAAGAAGCACCGGCUAAAUACGUGCCAGCAGCCGCGGUAAUACGUAUGGUGCAAGCGUUAUCCGGAUUUACUGGGUGUAAAGGGAGCGUAGACGGAUGGCUAAGUCUGAUGUGAAAGGUGAGGGCUCAACCCUUAAACUGCAUUGGAAACUGGUCAUCUAGAGUGUCGGAGAGGUAAGUGGAAUUCCUAGUGUAGCGGUGAAAUGCGUAGAUAUUAGGAGGAACACCAGUGGCGAAGGCGGCUUACUGGACGAUAACUGACGUUGAGGCUCGAAAGCGUGGGGAGCGAACAGGAUUAGAUACCCUGGUA